rnacentral:rRNA from 1 species
UACGUAGGGUGCAAGCGUUGUCCGGAAUUAUUGGGCGUAAAGAGCUUGUAGGCGGUUUGUCGCGUCUGCUGUGAAAUUUCGGGGCUCAACCCCGAACUUGCAGUGGGUACGGGCAGACUAGAGUGUGGUAGGGGAGACUGGAAUUCCUGGUGUAGCGGUGAAAUGCGCAGAUAUCAGGAGGAACACCGAUGGCGAAGGCAGGUCUCUGGGCCAUAACUGACGCUGAGGAGCGAAAGCAUGGGGAGCAAACAGG